rnacentral:rRNA from 1 species
UACGGAGGGUGCGAGCGUUGUCCGGAAUCACUGGGCGUAAAGGGCGCGUAGGUGGCGCGGGCAGUCAACGGUGAAAGUUCGGGGCUCAACCCUGAAUCGGCCGUCGAUACUCCCGGGCUUGAGCACUGUAGAGGCAGAUGGAAUUCCGGGUGUAGCGGUGGAAUGCGUAGAGAUCCGGAAGAACACCGGUGGCGAAGGCGAUCUGCUGGGCAGUAGCUGACACUGAGGCGCGACAGCGUGGGGAGCAAACAGG